GGUCUCCCUCUGUUGUCCAAGGCUGGAGUGUAGUAGUGCUAUCACAGCUGACUGCAGCCUCAACCUUCCAGGCUGAAGCGAUCCUCCCAUCU
rnacentral:sRNA from 1 species